UACGUAGGGGGCAAGCGUUGUCCGGAUUUAUUGGGCGUAAAGAGCGUGUAGGCGGCUAGGUAGGUCCGUUGUAAAAAACUCGAGGCUCAACCUCGAGACGCCGAUGGAAACCAUCUAGCUAGAGUCCGGAAGAGGAGAGUGGGAAUUCCUGGUGUAGCGGUGAAAUGCGCAGAUAUCGGGAAGAACACCCGUGGCUAAGGCGGCUCUCUAGUACGGUACUGACGCUGAGACGCGAAAAGCGUGGGGAGCGAACAGG
rnacentral:rRNA from 1 species